rnacentral:rRNA from 1 species
GAUGAACGCUGGCGGCGUGCCUAACACAUGCAAGUCGAGCGAAGCGCUUAAAUUAGAUUCCUUCGGAAUGACGAUUUUUGUGACUGAGCGGCGGACGGGUGAGUAACGCGUGGGUAACCUGCCUCAUACAGGGGGAUAACAGUUAGAAAUGACUGCUAAUACCGCAUAAGACCCCAGCUUCGCAUGAAGCGGUGGUAAAAACUCCGGUGGUAUGAGAUGGACCCGCGUCUGAUUAGCUAGUUGGUAAGGUAACGGCUUACCAAGGCGACGAUCAGUAGCCGACGUGAGAGGGUGACCGGCCACAUUGGGACUGAGACACGGCCCAGACUCCUACGGGAGGCAGCAGUGGGGAAUAUUGCACAAUGGGGGAAACCCUGAUGCAGCGACGCCGCGUGAAGGAUGAAGUAUUUCGGUAUGUAAACUUCUAUCAGCAGGGAAGAAAGUGACGGUACCUGACUAAGAAGCCCCGGCUAACUACGUG